GGAAGUAAAAGUCGUAACAAAGUUUCCGUAGGUGAACCUGCGGAAGGAUCAUUAUUGUAUAACCGAGGUGCGAGGGCUGUCGCUGACCCGAAAGGUCGUGCACGCCCGAGUGCCCUCACACACAUCCAUCUCACCCCUAUGUGCACCACCGCGUGGGUCCCCCUUUGGCUUGUUCGGAGGGGGGCUUACGUUUUCACACAAACUUUGUAUGCAGUGUAGAAUGUAUUUUUUGUUUUUGCGAUCACGCAAUCAAUACAACUUUCAUCAACGGAUCUCUUGGCUCUC
rnacentral:misc_RNA from 1 species